CUCGUAGACUCCUACGGGAGGCAGCAGUAAGGAAUAUUGGACAAUGGGCGCAAGCCUGAUCCAGCCAUCCCGCGUGCAGGAAGACAGCCUAUGGGUUUAACUGCUUUAGAAGGAAGAAACGCCUACAUUUAUGUGGGUUUGACGGUACCUUCAGAAUAAGCACCGGCUAACUCCGUGCCAGCAGCCGCGGUAAUACGGAGGGUGCGAGCGUUAUCCGGAAUUACUGGGUUUAAAGGGUGCGUAGGCGGGCGAUUAAGUCAGAGGUGAAAGCUUUCAGCUUAACUGAGAAAUUGCCUUUGAUACUGAUUGUCUUGAAAUAUGUUGAGGUUAGCAGAAUGUGGCAUGUAGCGGUGAAAUGCAUAGAUAUGCCAUAGAAUACCAAUUGCGAAGGCAGCUAACUGGGCAUUAUUUGACGCUGAGGCACGAAAGCGUGGGGAGCGAACAGGAUUAGAUACCCUGGUAG
rnacentral:rRNA from 1 species